rnacentral:lncRNA from 1 species
UGUCAGUCCGCAUGGAGCAGCCAGAGCUGUCAGUCUGCAUGGAGCAGCCAGAGCUGUCAGUCUGCAUGGAGCAGCCAGAGCUGUCAGUCUGCAUGGAGCAGCCAGAGAUGUCCGUCUGCAUGGAGCAGCCAGAUAUGUCCGUCUGCAUGGAGCAGCCAGAGAUGUCAGUCUGCAUGGAGCAGCCAGAGAUGUCAGUCUGCAUGGAGCAGCCAGAGCUGCCAGUCUGCAUGGAGCUGCCAGUCUGCAAGGAGCAGCCAGAGCUGUCAGUCUACAUGAAGCAGCCAGAGCUGUCAGUCUGCAAGGAGCUGUCAGUCUGCAAGGAGCCGCCAGUCUGCCCAGCGCCGCCAGUGCCGCCACUCUGCCAAGUGCCGCCAGUCUGCCCAGCGUUGCCAGUCUGCCCAGCGUCGCCAGUCUGCCCAGCGUCGCCAGUCUGCCCAGCGCCGCCAGUCUGCCCAGCGUCGCCAGUCUGUCAGGAUCAGUUAGAUCCACCAGUCAGCCAGGAUCCGCCAGAAGUGCCAGUCGGCCAGGAUCUGCCAGUAGUGCCAGUCGGCCAGGAUCUGCCAGUCGGCCAGGAUCUGCCAGUCGGCCAGGAUCUGCCAGUCGGCCAGGAUCUGCCAGUCGGCCAGGAUCCGCCAGUCAGCCAGGAUCCACCAGUCUUCCAGGAUCCGCCAGAGGUGCCAGUCGGCCAGGAUCUGCCAGUAGUGCCAGUCGGCCAGGAUCCGCCAGUCAGCCAGGAUCCACCAGUCAGCCAGGAUCUGCCAGAUCUGCUAGUCAGCCAGGAUCCGCCAGUCAGCCAGGAUCUGCCGGAACCACCAGCCAGCCAGGAUCUGGUAGAUUCAUCAACCUGCCUGAGCUUCUUCUCACUCCCGAGCUUUCUCUCACUCCCGAGCUUCCCCUCACUCCCGAGCUUCCCCUCACUCCCGAGCUUCCCCUCAGUCCCGAGCUGUCCUUCAGUCCAGUGGGGUUCUGGGUGAGGACUACUAGGCCAUGGUCGGCGGCGAGGGUGGUCUAUCCAGGGACGCGAGGAGAGGGGACUAAGACAUU